UACGGAGGGUGCAAGCGUUAUCCGGAUUCACUGGGUUUAAAGGGUGCGUAGGUGGGCAGGUAAGUCAGUGGUGAAAUCUCCGGGCUUAACCCGGAACUGCCGUUGAUACUAUCUGUCUUGAAUAUAGUGGAGGUGAGCGGAAUAUGUCAUGUAGCGGUGAAAUGCUUAGAUAUGACAUAGAACACCCAUUGCGAAGGCAGCUCGCUACACUAUCAUUGACACUGAGGCACGAAAGCGUGGGGAGUCAAACAGGAUUCAAG
rnacentral:rRNA from 1 species